AUAUUUCUUAUGAUAAUACUGCUAACGAAUGCUCUGACUUUAUUGCACUACUGUACUUUACAGCUAGCAGUGCAAUAGUAUUGUCAAAGCAUCUGAAAGCAGAAUACACAGCAAUGUUUU
rnacentral:pre_miRNA from 15 species